rnacentral:rRNA from 1 species
UCGAUGCCGCGUGUGNAAGAAGGCCUGAGGGUUGUAAAGCACUUUCAGUGGGGAGGAGGUCUUGCAUGUUAAGAGCUAGUGAGAUGGACGUUACCCACAGAAGAAGCACCGGCAAACUCCGUGCCAGCAGCCGCGGUAAUACGGAGGGUGCGAGCGUUAAUCGGAAUUACUGGGCGUAAAGCGUGCGUAGGCGGUUUAAUAAGUUAUAAAUGAAAUAGUUGGGCUCAACCUAAUUGCUGUUUAUAAGACUGUUAGACUGGAGUAUAGGAGAGGGUGGUGGAAUUUCCGGUGUAGCGGUGAAAUGCGUAGAGAUCGGAAGGAACACUGGUGGCGAAGGCGGCCACCUGGCCUAAUACUGACGCUGAGGUACGAAAGCAUGGGGAGUAAACAGGAUUAGAUACCCUGGUAGUCCAUGCUGUAAACGAUGUCAACUAGCUGUUGGUGCUGUAGUGGCAUUAGUGGCGCAGCUAACGCGAUAAGUUGACCGCCUGGGGAGUACGGUCGCAAGAUUAAAACUCAAAGGAAAUUGACGGGGGCCCGCACAAGCGGUGGAGCAUGUGGUUUAAU